GGCUUUGAAGCGUGGACGCCAGUCUGCGUGGAGCCAUCCUUGAAAUACCACCCUGGCAUGCUUGAGGUUCUAACUCUGGUCCGUCAUCCGGAUCGAGGACAGUGUAUGGUGGGCAGUUUGACUGGGGGCGGUCUCCUCCUAAAGAGUAACGGAGGAGUACGAAGGUGCGCUCAGACCGGUCGGAAAUCGGUCGUAGAGUAUAAAGGCAAAAGCGCGCUUGACUGCGAGACAGACACGUCGAGCAGGUACGAAAGUAGGUCUUAGUGAUCCGGUGGUUCUGUAUGGAAGGGCCAUCGCUCAACGGAUAAAAGGUACUCCGGGGAUAACAGGCUGAUACCGCCCAAGAGUUCAUAUCGACGGCGGUGUUUGGCACCUCGA
rnacentral:rRNA from 1 species